rnacentral:rRNA from 1 species
UACGGAGGGUGCAAGCGUUAUCCGGAUUCACUGGGUUUAAAGGGUGCGUAGGUGGGUUGAUAAGUCAGUGGUGAAAUCCCCGAGCUUAACUUGGGAACUGCCAUUGAUACUAUUGAUCUUGAAUACCGUGGAGGUCAGCGGAAUAUGUCAUGUAGCGGUGAAAUGCUUAGAUAUGACAUAGAACACCAAUUGCGAAGGCAGCUGGCUACACAAAUAUUGACACUGAGGCACGAAAGCGUGGGGAGCAAACAGG